GUUUCAAUAAGGAGGUUCAACCAACUCUGAGUUAAAACUUGAACUCUGAGUUGACUUACCCUGAGAUGGGAAACUCUGAGUUUUCGGUUACAGAACAGCUGAAAUGAGUUAGUUCAAUCAACUCUGAGUUGACCUACUCUGAGUUAAGCGCGUGCACCACAACUAUAAAAAGCCAUUAUCAAUGCAGCGCAGAUAUUACGAGUCACCAUGGCAACAGCGCCAGACAAAAAGAGGUCUUCAUAUUUUUCACCAGCAGAACUGGAUGUGCUUAUGCAAGCAUAUGGAGAGUACGAACAUAUAUUUUUAAAAAAAAGCAACACGGCUGCAGCGGCGAAGGACAGAGAGUUAGCUUGGGAGAAAAUAGCUGCUCGAGUCAAUGCGUGCAAUCCUGCAGGCAUUAAAAGAACAUGGCAGCAGCUGAAAAUGAAAUAUAAAAACAUAAUUCAAUCAGGUAAGGCUUGAACAUAUCAUGGUUGUAGUCUACCUGACUUUACAAACAUUUG
ensembl:lncRNA